CUGUAGGGUAACAUGUGGAAGGAUUAUUA
rnacentral:rRNA from 1 species